UACGGGGGGGGCAAGCGUUGUUCGGAAUUACUGGGCGUAAAGGGUUCGUAGGUGGCCAACUAAGUCAUACGUGAAAUCCCUCAGCUUAACUGGGGAACUGCGUCUGAUACUGGUUGGCUUGAGUGCAGGAGAGGAACGCGGAAUUCCAGGUGUAGCGGUGAAAUGCGUAGAUAUUGGGAGGAACACCAGUGGCGAAGGCGGCUCACUGGACCGGAACUGACGCUGAGGCGCGAAAGCGUGGGGAGCAAACAGG
rnacentral:rRNA from 1 species